CGCAACGUGACAAUUUGGGCCAGAAAUCAAUUUACAACUCCGGCCCGUACAUGGUCAGCCAGUAUUGAGCCACCCUUAAAUGCAGUUUCAGAUUUAUUUUUUCAAAACGCAGCCUUGUUUUACAAUUGCACACCGAUGCGGAAUUACAUCCAUCACACGCGCACACACGCGCCAGGUUCAAUCAGGCCUCCCAGAUAAUUUAAAAAUGAAAAAAAAAUGCAUAAAAGACAGAAUUAAUAUUUUUUAAUAAGGUGCAAUUCAUUGAGUAUCCGCUGGGGGACACUGUUUUGACAAAAGAAGACAACAGCAGCCUCAGUCCGUCACUGAGACAGACCCAUGACAGCAGACGCUAUCAAUAGCAGGGAUUACAUUUAGAUUUUAUAUGCACGUGUAAAUGGUUUAAAACUUCGUUUCUUUAUAAAUCUUGUUCAAUCAUAAAGUGCAUUACCAUAUUUUUCAAGACCAAUUACUUGUUAAAAUUUGUACAAUCAAUGGGAUCAGUUGCAAUGCAUAUAUGUGAAUGAUAAAAGUAAAUUAAUGCAAAUAUUUCUUGAAGGAAAUGUAAGGUGCUUCAUGAAAUGUUUUGUAAAAGAUACGUUCAUUAAAUUUCAACAUUUUCCAAA